AUGUGGGUGCAGGAGUGGAAGCCGGUGAUGGGAAUGCUGGCCUUCGACCUCAUCUCUGCUGUGAUGACGGCGCUGGUGAAGAAGGCUCUGGAGCAAGGUCUGAACCGCCUGGUCCUCGUUACCCUCCGGCAGCUGGUCGCAACCAUCUUCCUUGCCCCGAUAGCCUUUUUCAAAGAACGGAGCACGAGGCCCAAGCUCACAUUGGAGAUCCUGGCGUACCUCUUCUUCAGCGCCGUGUUUGGCGCGGCGCUCUCGCAGUACACCUUCUUCUACGGCCUGCAGUACACCACCGCCACCUUCGCCAUAACCUUCAUCAACCUCUCCCCUGUGCUCACCUUCCUCAUCGCCGUCGUGAUGAGGAUGGAACCGCUGAAGUUGAAGAGCAUGGCGGGAGCCGCAAAGAUCACCGGAACACUCACGUCGCUGGCCGGCUUGCUGCUGCUGAGUCUCUACAAGGGAGUGCCGCUGACGCACCAGGCCGCCGCUGCACCUAGCCCAGCUGCUUCUCACCAUGCAGCACCCUCUGACAGCAGUGGCAACAGGAGCUGGAUGCUGGGAACCAUGGCGUUGCUGUUCAACUGCCUGUGCUUCUCCUUCUGGCUGCUGCUGCAGACAAAGCUGACCAAGAAGUACCCAGCCAUCUAUUCAAGCACCGCCAUCAUGUUCUUCAUCAGCACGCUGCAGGGCGGGGCGGUGACGUUGGCGAUGGAGAGACACGUGUCGUCGUGGAUGCUGACCAGCAAGCUGGAGAUCGUUACCGUCUUGUAUGCAGGGAUAGUCGGAUCUGGAGCCGGGUACCUGAUAAUGACGUGGUGCGUCGAGAAGAAGGGCCCGGUCUUCACCGCAGCCUUCAUCCCCAUGAUGCAGAUCAUGGUAGCCAUCAUCGAUUUCUUCUUCCUCCAUGAACAAAUCUACCUUGGAAGCGUGCUAGGAUCUGUACUGAUGAUACUGGGGCUCUAUCUUGUGCUGUGGGGAAAGAAGAGGGAUGAAGCAGCUACUACCACUAACAAGCAAGUCGGCGAACAAGCUGACGACAAGCCGUGA
rnacentral:rRNA from 1 species